rnacentral:rRNA from 1 species
GAUAAACGCUGGCGGCGUGCUUAACACAUGCAAGUCGAACGAAGUUUUUCUUUCGGGAGGAACUUAGUGGCGGACGGGUGAGUAACGCGUGGGUAACCUGCCCUGUACAGGGGGACAACAGCUGGAAACGGCCGCUAAUACCGCAUAAGCCCUUAGCACUGCAUGGUGCAUAGGGAAAAGGAGCAAUCCGGUACAGGAUGGACCCGCGUCUGAUUAGCCAGUUGGCAGGGUAACGGCCUACCAAAGCGACGAUCAGUAGCCGAUCUGAGAGGAUGUACGGCCACAUUGGGACUGAGACACGGCCCAGACUCCUACGGGAGGCAGCAGUGGGGAAUAUUGCACAAUGGAGGAAACUCUGAUGCAGCGACGCCGCGUGAGUGAAGAAGUAUUUCGGUAUGUAAAGCUCUAUCAGCAGGAAAGAAAAUGACGGUACCUGACUAAGAAGCACCGGCUAACUACGUG